CCUACGGGGGGCAGCAGUGGGGAAUUUUGGACAAUGGGCGCAAGCCUGAUCCAGCCAUUCCGCGUGAGUGAAGAAGGCCUUCGGGUUGUAAAGCUCUUUCGCAAGGGAAGAAAACUUAUCCUCUAACAUAGGAUGAGGUUGACGGUACCUUGAUAAGAAGCACCGGCUAACUACGUGCCAGCAGCCGCGGUAGUACGUAGGGUGCGACCGUUAAUCAGACUUACGGGGGCUAUUGCGUAAGUAGGCUGUGAAAUCCCCGAGCUCAACUUGGGAACUGCGUUUGAAACUACAAGACUAGAAUAGGUCAGAGGGGGGUAGAAUUCCACGUGUAGCAGUGAAAUGCGUAGAGAUGUGGAGGAAUAUCAAUGGCGAAGGCAGCCCCCUGGGAUCAUAUUGACGCUCAUGCACGAAAGCGUGGGGAGCAAACAGGAUUAGAUACCCUUGUAGUC
rnacentral:rRNA from 1 species